rnacentral:misc_RNA from 1 species
ACUCGCUGGGCCAACUCAAGACGCGCGAGCUUUUAUUUCAAUCGAGCACGCCAGAGCAAAGAUACCAGUAGUUGUUGUUCCGAAGGUAGAGAAUUAAAGACGAAAUUCAAGUUAAAAUAGAUAACGAAGAACGAGAAACACAAUCCGAUCUAUAAAAUGAUUAUAUCGCCACGGUCUUUCAAUUUGUGCUUUUCAUCUUCAUUCGUUUGAAAUUUUCUAUUUUCUAUUUUCUUUUUCUUUUUUUUUUCAUUUCAGUUUUUGCCUUUCUUCUAUUUACGAACGAACGUGUGUUAUCCAUUGACGUUUGAUUCGGAACAUCGUUUCGCGUAGUUGAGGAAAAUUUUAUUUCUUUCAAAAUCUCAAUGAUACACGGAGGAGGAUAACUUUGGAGAGAGAAAGAAAGAAAAAAUCGCGUUGGAUUGGUUGUGAAGAAAUUCUUAUUCUUUUUUUAUAUUCUGAAAAUAUAUACGCCCGUUGAAAUUGAUUUUAGAUUCGAGCGAAAAAUUAAAGAGACAAAAAAUUUUCAAUUCAAAUUGAACGAGCUAAUCGACUCUUAUUAGAAUAAACGAAUCUUGGAGACGACGUCUCGAUGUAAUACGAACCGGCAAGAAAGAGAAAAAGUUUAAUUUUAUUUUAUUUCAUUUUUAUUUUUCAUCCUCAUUCUCAAACCGUAAAUUAACUGCAAUCGUCAACUGUGCGCGUAAAAAAGAGAGAAUCGUUAAGAAAAAAAAAAAAAAGAAACUGCGGAUUAAUAUAUUAGUCAUUAUCAUCAUAUAGCGUGUAACGACGAUUUUAAUUAAUUUAAACGAUGACACAAUUAUUGCAUUGCGAAGGAAAAGAAAGAACCAGCAAACCACGACGUUAAAAAAGUAAAGCAAAUUAAUUAGCUUGAAUUAAAAUCAUCAAAUUUUAUUCUUGGCAAAGGAAAAUCAUUUCAAAUUGUGAAAUCUUAUAACGUACAUAGAUUGGUGCGCGUGUGUUUUAUCCAAAAAUAUUUUUUUCGCCCCCUCCCUGCAAAUAUAUAUACAUCUAUAUCCAUACAUAUGAAAAUGGGAGGGAGGCUCCUGCAGUUUUGAUACGACGAAGGAAAUGACGAUGCGUUUGAAUUAAAAAAUAUAGUUAUCAAUUAAAUCGAUUAACGACGAUGUCCAGAAUCGACGGCGCAGAAGGCGCUCGAUACAUAUUAUUGAUCGACGAUCGAUUAAUGAAUUGAAUAAAUUUAGUGAGCGGAAUCGAAGAGAAAAAUAAAAUGAAAAUAGAACUAUAGCUUCGUUGGUGUAUUCGCUCUACGUUCGGAGUGCUGCGGAAGAUGAAUUGAGGAACCGAUAUACGAACGAAGUUCGAUAUGGGCAUUUGAAUCAGAUUGGUAAUCUGUAUUAUAAAAUUGUAAAGAGACGCGGAUAAAUUUCCGAUCGUCAAGAUGACCACGGAUCUGGUACCGACGUUGCAAACCAACGUUACGAACGCGACGGUAAAAUUCGAUUUCGGUGAUUACGACGUAGAUGAAUCUCUCACUAAUUUCAAAUGGAAGGAACUAGCUCCAGCUCUCGCUGUAUACAGCUUUACCUUCUGUCUCGGUUUAGCUGGAAACCUGCUGAUAAUCGCCUCCACCUUGUGUCCUCGUUUGAGACCGCUCCCUUCGACACCGACGAACGUAUUCCUCGGCGGUUUGGCGACUGCGGAUCUCCUCUUAAUCAUAUUCUGCAUACCCGUCAAGAUCGCUAAAUUAUUCUCCUACACUUGGAGCAUGGGACUUUUUCUCUGCAAAGCCGUGCACUACAUGCAGAGCGUGUCGGCCAUAUGUUCCGUCUUGACCCUGACAGCGAUGUCCAUCGAAAGAUACUACGCCAUCGUACACCCCAUGAGGGCGCAAUACACCUGCACUAUAAGUCAGGCCAGAAGAAUUGUCAUUAUGACUUGGAUAACUUCGUUCCUAUUGGCUAUACCGAUUAUAUUCACACAGAGGCACAAGGUCGUGGGUAGGAAAUAUCUGGCUUAUUGGUGCAUACGUGAUUACGAGGCAGGUACGCUAUGGCGUCUCCACGAGCUCUACAUGUUCCUCUUGGUCCUGGUUGUCCCUCUUAUCGUUAUGGCGUUUUGCUACACGGCUAUAUGUUGGGAAAUAUGGAGAGUAAUGAAGAGAAGAUAUCACAUGACUUCUCGUCACGCUUUGAAUCCCACCAACAAUAUGGGGGCGGAAUGCAUUCCGAUGACCGACCAACACGGCAGCACGAGAAACGGAAGGAGAGGACGUCGAGACGACGGCAGGACAGAAGAGGAAUCACGCACGAUGAAACAGGUUGUGAAAAUGCUGGUCGCUGUCGUGGUUCUUUUUGUCAUAUGUUGGGGCCCGAUGUUGACCGACAACGUGUUGACUGCCUACGGAGUUUUGGCCCGCGUUAAAUCUGGAUCUUCGAAACACGCCAACGUUGUUUUUCAACUAAUGGCUUACUUCAACAGCUGCAUAAAUCCCAUCGUCUACGGAUUCAUGUCGAAGCAUUUCCGCGAGAGUUUUCUGUCAGCGGCAUGUGGAAGUUGGUGGUGUUGCUGCCGAAGGAGAAACUAUCGUUCUUCGGGUCGCGUCAAGCGACACCCGAGUCUGAGCCAGACGAGGACCACGAGUGUUCGGUGGCGUCAACUUUCGCUGAGCAUGAUGUUCCCUUUGACGAACACCGUUAAAUCUACUCGUACGGUUGUUGUAUAGAGUAGCCCGCCACUACCCUCUACACUCUACUGUCAUGUGGACCUGAUUCUACCUCAACCCUUGGAAUCGCUACCGCGACGAGGGAAAUUAUUAAUUAAUUAUAAAUAUAAAUAUAUUUCUACAUGAAUUUUAUUUAUUCAUAAGUAAAUAGAAUAUUUUCUUAUAAUUAUUGUCACAAUCAUAAUUGCGUUUUGCUGUGAACAUUUUUCCUGUAUUUAUUGCCUCGUUCGUUUUUGAAGGGACGUCUUCGCAACGCCCGGUUUCUCGUAACCGAACCUGAUUGAAACGUUCAAUUUAACGUCGGACAAUCCGCCGAUAUAGAUUGGGCACACGUAUGUACGUACCACAUUCGUAUAUACACGUAUACACGAAAGGCUAUUCACGAUUGGGAUGAAAAUUAGAAAGAAUAGUUUCCCGCGAAACGAGAAAGGUGUUGCAGAAAAACCGACGGUAAAUCGAUUUUUGUUCAACUGAACUUGACGGUUGAAAAAUAGCCGUGAAAGUGGCUGCUGCUGCCGUCACUGCUGUUGCUAUUCAGUUUUCCUUCGUCUUUUUCACUUCGUUUUGCGCGACCAUACAAACGAAAAAUGAGAAGAAAAAAGCGGGGAAAAAAUAUUUGAUUUAGUUUUUCGUGUCGCGGAAUUAGAUGACACAGGUUGAAUUUGAAGACCAUUAUGUAAAUUGAACAUGCUUAUUGUUUCUUAUUUAUUUAAACAUCAAUUCGAAUGUAACUAAUGUGAAAUUAUGAUAAUUAUUUGAGCCGUCGGGAAAACGUAUCGGAAUUGUUAAAACAAAUUGUCUCGUUCACCUUUGAUUUAUCGCUACAAUUUGGGGCGUAGCGAAUUUCAGCGGUGAAUGUCAAAUUUGACGAGGGGUUCGCGUGCGAUGAAAAUGUUUUUUUUUUUAUGUUCUGUUCCGAUUUCAAUAAAAAAUAUUUGAUUGCAUCCGUACGAAUGUCGAAGAGAUAAAUAAUAAUUAUUUUUACUUAGAAUGGCAUUUGACUAAAUAAAAAAAUUCAUACACGAUAAUCGAUAGGAUCGAUGUACAUAUAUUUAAAUGACCCGUAAUAUAAUUAUAAUUUUACCUUAUUGAUGUACAAUUAAUAUACACGAACGUUAUACGUAAUAUACAUACCUAUACGCGCUAAAACUAUUCUUAAUUAAUCGUGAUGUGAUGAGAAUAAUUGUACGAUUGUCAGAUACAUCGGUCAUGUAUUUAUUAUGUUUAGGUAAGAUGUGAUGUAAUCGAUGUUAAUGAUAAUGACGGACAACUAGAGUCUAAUUAACUGUGGAUAAAUGUAUAUGAAUUAUAUUAAUA